GACGAACGCUGGCGGCGUGCUUAACACAUGCCAGUCGGGCGGAAAGGCCUGCUUUCCCUUGUGGAUUGCGGGUACUCGAGUGGCGAACGGGUGAGUAACACGUGAGUGAUCUGCCCCCAACUUGGGUAUAAGCCUGGGAAACUGGGUCUAAUUCCCGAUAGGACUGCAGGGUGGUGCCUGUGGUGGAAAACGAUUUUCUAGUGGUUGGGGAUGAGCUCGCGGCCUAUCAGCUUGUUGGUGGGGUAAUGGCCUACCAAGGCGGCGACGGGUAGCCGGCCUGAGAGGGUGGACGGCCACAUUGGGACUGAGAUACGGCCCAGACUCCUACGGGAGGCAGCAGUGGGGAAUAUUGCACAAUGGGCGGAAGCCUGAUGCAGCGACGCCGCGUGGGGGAUGACGGCCUUCGGGUUGUAAACUCCUUUCGACCGCGAGGAAGCCACCUGGUUGGAAGGGUGGUGACGGUAGUGGUAGAAGAAGCACCGGCUAACUACGUG
rnacentral:rRNA from 1 species